GCCGGCGUAGCUCAACCGGCAGAGCACCCGCCUUGUAAGCGGGGGGUUGGGGGUUCGACUCCCUCCGCCGGCACCA
rnacentral:tRNA from 1 species